GGAGGCAGCAGUAGGGAAUCUUCGGCAAUGGAGGGAAGUCUGACUGGAGCAACGCCGCGUGAGUGAAGAAGGUUUUCGGAUGGUUAAGCUCUGUUGUUAGGGAAGAAAAAGUGUGAGAGUGGAAAGUACACACUUUGAGGGUUUUUACCCAGAAAGGGCCGCCUAACUACGUGCCAGCAGCCCGCGGUAAUAAUUAGGUGGGUGAGCGUUUUCCGGAUUAAUUGGGCGUAUAGCGAGCGCAGGCUGUUAGAUAAGUCUGAAGGUUAAAGCCUGUGGUUUAACCCUAGUACGCUUUGGAAACUGUUGAACUUGAGUGCAGGAGGGGAGAGUGGAAUUCCUUGUGUAGCGGUGAAAUGCGUAGAUAUAUGGAGGAACACCGGUGGCGAAAGCGGCUCUCUGGUUUGUAACUGACGCUGAGGCUCGAAAGCGUGGGGAGCAAACAUUUUUUCCCCCUUUCCUCCCGCAACCACUUUUCUUUUGUUGUGUCCUUUUCGACCUCAGCCCGUAGCUAACGCAAUAAACAGUCCGCCUGGAGACGCGACAGGU
rnacentral:rRNA from 1 species